AUGAAGUUGGAAUCGCUAGUAAUCGCGGAUCAGCAUGCCGCGGUGAAUACGUUCCGGGCCUUGUACACACCGCCCGUCACACCAUGAGAGCCGGGGGGACCCGAAGUCCGUAGCCUAACUGCAAGGAGGGCGCGGCCGAAGGUAAAACUGGUGAUUGGGGUGAAGUCGUAACAAGGUAAC
rnacentral:rRNA from 1 species